UACGUAGGGUGCGAGCGUUAAUCGGAAUUACUGGGCGUAAAGGGUGCGCAGGCGGUCUCGUAAGCUGGGUGUGAAAGCCCCGGGCUUAACCUGGGAAUGGCAUUCAGGACUGCGAGGCUUCGAGUGCGGCAGAGGGAGGUGGAAUUCCACGUGUAGCAGUGAAAUGCGUAGAGAUGUGGAGGAAUACCGAUGGCGAAGGCAGCCCCCUGGGAUAACACUGACGCUCAUGUACGAAAGCGUGGGUAGCAAACAGG
rnacentral:rRNA from 1 species